rnacentral:rRNA from 1 species
UACAGAGGGUGCGAGCGUUGUUCGGAAUCAUUGGGCGUAAAGCGCUUGUAGGCGGCUUGUUAAGUCGCGUGUGAAAUCCCUUGGCUCAACCCAAGGGAAGUGCGCGCGAAACUGGCGAGCUCGAGUGACCGGAGAGGGUCGCGGAAUUCCCGGUGGUAGAGGUGAAAUUCGUAGAUAUCGGGAAGGAACACCAGUGGCGAAGGCGGCGACCUGGACGGACACUGACGGCUGAGACGCGAAAGCGUGGGGAGCAAACAGGAUUAGAAACCCGUUGGUAGUCCAAGACCAGAUACCUUCCUGGCUACCACGUGAUUACACCGACCUGACCCCUGAUCGAAAGAGGCCUGGAGGACCA